UCAAGAUGAGAUUUCCCACUGUAAAGGUAAGACCCCUGGAAGAUGACCAGGUUGAUAGGUUCGAGGUGGAAGCGCGGCAACGCGUGAAGCUGACGAAUACUAAUCGGUCGAGGGCUUAUCCUAAA
rnacentral:rRNA from 1 species